AGUCAAGUAAUUAAGUGCAUGUGGUGGAUGCCUUGGCAGUCAGAGGCGAUGAAAGACGUGAUAGCCUGCGAAAAGCUCCGGGGAGGCGGCAAAUAUCCUUUGAUCCGGAGAUGUCUGAAUGGGGGAACCCACCUACUUUAAGGUAGGUAUUGCAACAUGAAUACAUAGUGUUGCAAGGCGAACGAGGGGAAGUGAAACAUCUCAGUACCCUUAGGAAAAGAAAUCAAUUGAGAUUCCCUCAGUAGCGGCGAGCGAACGGGGAUCAGCCCAUUAAGUUAUGUGUGUUUUAGUGGAACGCUCUGGGAAGUGCGAACGUAGAGGGUGAUAUUCCCGUACACGAAAGGGCACACAUAAUGAUGACGAGUAGGGCGAGGCACGUGAAACCUUGUCUGAAUAUGGGGGGACCAUCCUCCAAGGCUAAAUACUCCUGACUGACCGAUAGUGAACCAGUACCGUGAGGGAAAGGCGAAAAGAACCCCUGUGAGGGGAGUGAAAUAGAUCCUGAAACCGCAUGCAUACAAGCAGUGGGAGCACCUUCGUGGUGUGACUGCGUACCUUUUGUAUAAUGGGUCAGCGACUUAUAUUCAGUAGCGAGGUUAACCGUAUAGGGGAGCCGUAGAGAAAUCGAGUCUUAAUAGGGCGUUUAGUUGCUGGGUAUAGACCCGAAACCAGGCGAUCUAUCCAUGAGCAGGUUGAAGGUUGGGUAACACUAACUGGAGGACCGAACCCACUGUCGUUGAAAAGCCAGGGGAUGACUUGUGGAUAGGGGUGAAAGGCUAAUCAAGCCUGGUGAUAGCUGGUUCUCCCCGAAAGCUAUUUAGGUAGCGCCUCGGACGAAUACCAUAGGGGGUAGAGCACUGUUUCGGCUAGGGGGUCAUCCCGACUUACCAAACCGAUGCAAACUCCGAAUACCUAUGAGUACUAUCCGGGAGACAGACUGCGGGUGCUAACGUCCGUAGUCAAGAGGAAAACAAUCCAGACCGCCAGCUAAGGCCCCAAAAUCAUAGUUAAGUGGGAAACGAUGUGGGAAGGCAUAGACAGCUAGGAGGUUGGCUUAGAAGCAGCCACCCUUUAAAGAAAGCGUAAUAGCUCACUAGUCGAGUCGGCCUGCGCGGAAGAUGUAACGGGGCUAAAACUAUGUGCCGAAGCUGCGGAUGUAUACUUUGUAUACGUGGUAGGGGAGCGUUCUGUAAGCCGAUGAAGGUGUGUUGAGAAGCAUGCUGGAGGUAUCAGAAGUGCGAAUGCUGACGUGAGUAACGACAAAACGGGUGAAAAACCCGUUCGCCGAAAGACCAAGGGUUCCAGUCCAACGUUAAUCGGGGCUGGGUGAGUCGACCCCUAAGGCGAGGCCGAAAGGCGUAGUCGAUGGGAAAAUGGUUAAUAUUCCAUUACUUCUGUGUAAUGCGAUGAGAGGACGGAGAAGGCUAAAUCAGCCUGGCGUUGGUUGUCCAGGUGAAAGGAUGUAGGCAUGUAUCUUAGGCAAAUCCGGGGUACUCUAUGCUGAGAUCUGAUAGCAAGCUGUACU
rnacentral:rRNA from 1 species